CUCACGCGAGCAGCCUCCGCCCCGCGCACGCUCCCCUGCGCGCCGCGCCCUGUGGGCCGCCCGCGCGCCUCGCCUCGCGGCCCGGGCCACGUCCAGGCCCGGACCCCGCCGUCUUCUGGGCCGCCGCUGCUGCUCUCUGAAGUGAAAGUGAAAUGAGGAAAAGCAGGCCGAGCGGGCUGUAGGGGAAGGGCGGCUAGCACGUGCGUCCAGCCUUCCACUCCUGCCCCACCGUCCAGGCUUGCCUAACAGAUGGAGCGAGGCUACGGAGACUCCCUGAGGAGGAAGAAAGAGGACAUCCCUCCUGAGUCUUUACAGAGAGCCGGUGGAGGACUCUUGCAGGCUCCUUGAGUGUUCUCUAGUAAGAGGAUCUUAACCCCGGUGGAUCUCUCACUGGGUUUUCUGCUGUGGUUCAGAGCCCUCCAUACGUCCUUUCUCCAUCGGGAAGAGACAAAAAAAAAAAAAAAAAAAAAAAAAAAAGCAAAAGCAAAAGCAAAAGCAACCCUCUGUCCUGCACACACGGCCAGACUUACGAGGCCACAGCUGACAUACAUGCUUGAAGGAGAAAGUGCGCUAUUGUGUCUUGUUUUUCCUUUUGAAUUACGUCCUCCUGAGACCGUGGCUGACCCUUAGGCCUGUGGCCGUCCUGAAUGUGAUUGACAUGCGUGAUUAGCAGGCUAGUGAGAGAGAACCAGGGAAAUUGCUAUCAAAACAAUUACACACAGGGACAUCAGAACAAUGGCCUGAGAGCCGCCAGGGACUUAGAGACCAUCCUAGUUCUGCCACGGAUGCCCUCUGGGGCCGUGGCCAACUCAAAUCAUCUCUUUGUGUCUUCGUUUCCUCCUGAACACCAUUUUUAUUUGAAAAGAACAAGGACAAACUAUGAUUACUCAGACUAAAGUAUGUGGCAGAUAUUUUAUUUAAAAAAAUGGAGUGAGCCUGUUACUUUAAGGCAAACAGCUGACUAUAUUUGUUGACAUUGAUAAAAUGCAUUUUCAAGCAAAAAUCAGAUUUUGGAAAAUUUAUAUUCACUAUCCUGGGCUCAACUUCUUCCUAGCCAGAUUUUCUUCAUAUACUUCAACAAAAGAACACAAGAACAUUGUGAAAGAUUGAAAUAGAAGCUGAUAUUGAAUCCAGUUGUCUUCUAUAAGCCAGACUGUUAAAAGAUUUUACCUACUUAUUUUAGAGAUGGAGAUGUAGACGGAGAAAGAGAGAAUCUCAAGCAGGCUCCACUCCCAGCACAGAGCCUUAUGCUGGACUCGACCUCACGACCCUGAGAUCAUGACCAGAGCCAAAAUCAAGAGUCAGACACUUGACCAACUGGGCCAUCCAGGUGCCCCUUAAUCUAGGUGUGUCUUAAGGGAGAAACAGGAACUAACAUGUUAUGUAGUACUAAUCUCUGUGCUGGAGCCAAUUAAACAAAGUCAAAAGACAGAAUAUUAGGGGAAAAAAGGGCAAUGUGCACAACAGACAAUAAGUCAAUAUGCUUAAUAGACUUCAGAAUUUGGUGUAUUGGUUAGAUCAUCUGAUCUGGAAAAGGUAUCCUGUUUUUUUUUUUAAAGAUUCUAUUUAUUUAUUCAUGAGAGAGAGAGAGAGACAGAGAGACAGAGACACAGAGACACAGGCAGAGGGAGAAGCGGGCUCCAUGCAGGGAGAUCCCAGGUCCAGGAUCACGCCCUGGGCCUAAGGCAGUGCUAAACCACUGAGCCACCUGGGCUGUCCAGGCAUACUGUUUUGAGGGCAAAUUAGGAUUGGAGUGGGUAUUUUGGUGGGUUGAGGAGAAGCAGAAUACAGGAGAGAAUGGGAGAGGGAGAAAGAGAGAGGUACGUAAUGAAUGGAUGAAUGAAUGAUGGCUCCGAGAUGUCUGUGUAGCUCCUAAUCUGGUGCCUCUAAAGCCAACCUUCAGAUGUUCCCCCACUAUGUCUGUUCUCUUUUGCUGGUCUCACACAAAUAUAAACAAACAAAGAGACAAAUCCCUUUCAUACUGUCCAGUUUCAGAGAGUAUGAAUGACCAAGGCCUGAGUAACCUGCUAACUGAAUGAAGACUCCUGAUGUGCCUACUGUCUUUUAAAAAACUUUGUUAGAACUUGUCCUAACAGGGCAGCCCAGGUGGCUCAGCGGUUUAGCUCUGCCUUCAGCCCAGGGCAUGAUCCUGGGGACCCGGGAUCGAGUCCCACAUCGGGCUCCCUGCAUGGAGCCUACUUCUCCCUCUGCCUGUGUCUCUGCCUCUCUCUCGCUCUCUCUGUGUCUCU